UGUCAGGCCUCCAUCCGAUCGUAUCCCUUACGAUGAUCAGAAGAUGAAUCCGUGACUCCGCCCUCUCCGGGCCGCUACCAUCCUCUGAUUGGCUCUUCAUAGAUCUGCAAAGCUCUUCAGGGGCCGACCUCCGGAAAUGACGAGUCGGCGCUUUUCUUUUCUCACAUAAUAAAAUGUGUAUCUGAUGAACACAGA